AACAGGCACACAGGCUGUCUGGCCCCUGGGGGUCUGAGAAUAGUGGAGGAACCUGGGAAAGGAUGCUGCCAGAGGCCUUGUGGUCUAUUGAGCAGGGGUCUCAGCAAACUGGUCCAACUCUUCUCAGAUAAGAGACGCCUGCUGGAAUCUAAGCGGAUCUGAUUGAACAGGUAUGAGGGCAGGCAGGUUGCUCCCCAGGAUGGGUGGCACCAGCUAAGUGGAAUUGACUCCACUGUUGUUCUGUCCCGGGCAAUUACCCAUCAUGCAGCAAGCCCCCAGCAUGAUCUUAACAAUCACCUGUUAAAAUAACUGCCUUGCUGUUUCCUUACCAAUUAACCUCCGGGAGGUAUAAUUACCUCUAGCAAGGGAAGGUGUGCAGUGUGGUCUGGGACUGGAUGGGAGCUGCUGCUGAGGCUGCCCACUCCCCAGGUCUCAGCAAGGAUCUUUCCAGACACAGGAGCACAGGGCUGUAACUGGGGCCUCUGAAGUCCACUGCCAUGGGGGACUCAAGAUGAUGGUGGGUCCCCAAACCCCAGUGUUUUGGGAAAACUUUGUUCCCUGCCUGUGCCCUACAGUAAGGGCACAUUUCCCACUGAGGCUCACAAAGGAGUUUUCUCUCAACGUCUGCUUUUCCUUCCCACUCCACACCAAGGCCAGGACUGUAUCUGACUCUUCACCGUGUCCUCGGCCUCUGGCAUGGUGUCCAGUCAGGUGGUCAGCACACAGUAGUGGGUACUUGAUAUUGUGGUCUCUCUGGUAAGCAGACUAUUUAAGAGUAUUUCAAGCUCCCUGCCACAGCUGUGGAUCAAAAGCUAGACACCCCC
rnacentral:lncRNA from 1 species